AGACAACGUUCCAAGCAAAUAACUCGAAAACCUAUGACAGAUGCUUCAUCGGCCACAAGGACGUCCUGAACGCCGACACCUGGAACAUCUACGAAGGGCAGUACUUCACCGGAAGGGAGCUUUUCGGUACGAACGACACGGCCUCCCUGGGAGAGCUUGAACUUCAAGUUUCUUCGAUUGGGGUCACGUGUACAAGCGCUUGGACUGUGUACACAGGCCAAUCCUUCACGGGCCCUGAAGGGGUCUGCGUUUAUCCUGCCACAUUUCAUGACCGGUCGCCUUCGGGAGAGCAACUUGACGUCGGUAUUUUUGGAGUCGUAACUACUCUUGGACUACCUGAAGACAGCAUCCGCUCCAUACGAAAGGGAUGUUGGUCAAGCAAGGUUGCGACUCCUUCAGACCUCAGCUACCAACACAAAGACUCCAAUAGUGGGUGGGGAUAUUUUGGACUCUAAAAUGGAGACACAGGCUCCAAGACAACGGUUGAUUUGCAAGUUUAAAUUUGCAUGUUAUGAGCUACUGAUUUGGAAAUUAAAAUUAUAUUUGGGUGUUGAAGAAAGUACUUAUUUCAAAAUUACCGACCACAUGGCCCAACAAACUUAGAAGAAAAAUUUGUUUACUAUCCUUUAAUAUUCUGACGGUUUCUGACCAAUUCCUUAUCCAUGGAUAUGAAAAUUCCCAAUCUUCCACUAAUAUUCCUUCAGGACAUUCUGAAGGCCAA